rnacentral:lncRNA from 1 species
UCUGGAAAGAAAAAGAAGCCACCAAACCACCUUUCCUGGUGCUGAGGAAAAAAAAAAGGAAAAAGGAAAAAAAAAAUGCUGAAUUCAUGAGGUAGUACGGCUUCGGAGACACCCGAAUUGGGAGGAGGCCAAGAAACUGUUCGCAGAGAUACCUAUGGAAAGUCCACAAACAGGACAUGAGGGCGGUCCUCUUCUCAUUGGUUCACAGCAGCUGAUAAUCAGAGGAUUGUUUGGCGCCAAAAUCCAUUUAUGGUUGUAUCCUUUGUCUAUUUUUAAUAUACUGCCCUAAU